rnacentral:tRNA from 1 species
CGGGUCGUGGAUGGUGUGGCCGGCGAGCGCCGCUUCGUAGGCGCCGGGCUUGCCGUCGGGGUCGCGCGGGCCGGCGUUCCAGGUGCUCGGCACGAC